GCGAGAGUGGCGGAAUUGGCAGACGCGCCAGACUUAGGAUCUGGUGGGUCACCCCGUGGGGGUUCAAAUCCCCCCUCUCGCA
rnacentral:tRNA from 1 species